CUCUGUGUCUCCAAUCUAAUAAAACCCACUGAUUUACCCUUCAAUCUUUGCUGAUUACCCUGUUGCUGUGAGGUCGUAUUUCCCAAAACGAGCAGAGAUGUUGCAAUACAGCAUGAUGAAACAUCUGGAAAUUGAAAACUGAAAAGCAGCUAUUGCAGGUGAGAUGCACCUUGCUUCCCUCUAUAUUGGGUGUAUGGAGAAUUACGCUCCUAGAAUGGACAUCACAAAACCAGAAUUACAGGUGAUAACUACUCUAAUCAAAGGGAAACUAAGAGGAGAGAUGCAGGGAGUUUGGUGCUGUUUCAAGGCUGUAAUUAUGCAUAGGAGCUUUGGAGGAGCUAUUUGCAAAAGAUAUUUAUAUUUUAUUUUUGAUACCAGAAACAACUAAACAGUGGGUUAUACAUCCAGAGACUGCUAUGUUGUCUGUUUUACAGGCCCCAUAAAUCUUGCAAACUUGAUGCAAACUAGCAGGAGAGAUGAGAAGCAUUCACUUUCAGACUAGAGCUUAACUUUUAGGCUGCUUUUCAAGUUUCUGCAGUGAUUAGUUCAAAGGUACUUGUAGGAACUUGUUGACCACUGUGUUGGUCUUUGAAAAAGGUAUAUUCCAAGUGUGGUGGAUGCUAUCUGUGGAGGUACUGCUGCAGAAUUAAGUGCUAAUGUGUCUCUUUUCUUGCUAUGAGGAGGAAAAUAGGUGUUGAUCACUCUUAUUAUUUACUUUAUCAUUUGUUGUUUGCAAUUCUGGUGAGCUAAGGAACAAUGGGCAGUGCAGGUAUAGGUAAUAAAGCCAAUUUAGCUCCAGAGAUCUCAGUGUGCAAAAGGAGAAGGGUGAGUGUGUCUUUAUGUGUGUGUGUGUGAUGGGGGAAUGGAUUUGGAAAAGAGAAGUAACACUUCUUUUCUCUUUCUCUAAUGCAAAGCAGUAGCAUUGCAUUACAAGCCCUUCAGCCUGGAGACUGUAGAAACAUGGAACCUUUUGCUUCUCAGCUGCUGGAAUUUAACUUUAUUGUUGUUCAUUUCUAUUCCUUUAAUAAAGAAUCCUGAGUUGAACUCCUUGCAUGCUUACUGCACUCUGCCUUUGGCUGGCUUACUCAGGCUUUCCCUUGUAAACUCUGGAGUGAAUUGUUUAAUCUGCUGGACUGGAGUUAGAGAAACCCUGGAGCAGCUCAUUCAUUCACUGGCGAGGCUGCAUUUCUGCUCUGCAGUGGCUGGGACAGCCUACGCUUGCUCCUUGACUCGGGCCUUGAUUCCACUGCUGUCUGACACUUGGAGCCACACCCCAAGAAGGAAAGCAACAUCUUCAAGCUUAGCCAGUUGGGUGUUAUCAGAGACAGCCAAAACCUUCAUGCAAUCUGCAGAGGAAGAAUUGUACCGCUAUCCUAGGCCAUGAGGAAAUAUUUUUCUCUGAAUUCAUGACCUCUUCUGAACUUCUAACCAUCAGCAAGAUUCAGAGUGAGGUUUACACCAAAGAGAAAUGGGAAUACCUACAUCGAAUCCACGCUGGAAAAGAAACUUUGCUUGCAAACACAGUGAUGGUUGUAACUCUCAGCUCCACAGGGCAGAAUUCCUUCCUGAAGAUAGUCUAGUACUGAUUGCCCAAACAUGCAGUCUUUUGCAUCACAGUUUGAUAUAAUUUCCUCCAUCUGAUUGGAGAAGGAAGAUGUUUGUACUUUUUUUUUUUUUUUUUUUAAUUUUUAUUUUUUAUCUAGCAAUAUUCCAGGGUUCCUUAAAACGUUUGAAGAAGCCUUGUUUCCAUAAAACACUGAACACUGGCCAUUGUCCUUUGCCUUUCAUCUUAAUAUUGCUGUAAUACAGUUUA
rnacentral:lncRNA from 1 species